rnacentral:rRNA from 1 species
UACGGAGGGUGCAAGCGUUGUCCGGAUUUAUUGGGCGUAAAGAGCGUGUAGGCGGCCAUGUAGGUCCGGUGUGAAAACUCGAGGCUUAACCUCGAGAUGUCAUCGGAAACCAUUUGGCUAGAGUCCGGAAGAGGAGAGUGGAAUUCCCGGUGUAGCGGUGAAAUGCGCAGAUAUCGGGAGGAACACCAAUGGCGAAGGCAGCUCGCUGGGACGGUACUGACGCUGAGGCGCGAAAGCGUGGGGAGCAAACAGG